CUUAUCACAAAGCUAGUUCGUCUUUGUGUAUGUUUAAAUUUAUAUUUUUUAUACUUAUUGUGCUGUUUAACUUUCUUAUAAAAAAGAGUGAGGAAUUAAAAAGGUGGCCACCGAACAGAAAGUUAAACUGCUGCAAUAUACUAUAAUCUUUUUAGUUCUUGUUUACAUUUUUAACUCAUAAAUUAUGAAUAUAAAAUUUCAAAUUAAUUGAAAUUCAAAAAUAAAAGAACACCAACCUAGAUUUCUUAAACGAUAAAAUUUUACUAUAAGUUUAAAUGACAUGUAAUAAGCACAUUAGUUAAAGUUUUAUAGGAACCGAACAUUUGGCUGGAUCAUGGACUACACACCGACGGAGAAUUUGUCAUUGAGCUGAAGGAAAAUGAGUCGGCACUCGGCUUCGUUUCAACCCGGAGGAAGAUUGGCAGCAUCAAUAGACGUUCAUCUUAAUGUCAACUGUUGAAAAAACAGAACAUUUAACUGGAUCAUGGACUAUCCACCGACGAAGAAUUUGUCAUUGAGCUGAAGGAAAAUGUGUCGGCACUCGGCUUCGUUUCAACCCGGAGGAAGAUUUGCAGCAUCAAAAAGAAAUUCAACUGACGAUAAUCUACUGUCGAAAUGAAGAAGAAUUUGUCAUUGAGCUGAUGGAAAAUGUGUCGGCACUCGGCUUCGUUUCAACCUGGAGGAAGAUUAGCAUCAUCAAUAGACGUUCAUCUUAAUGUCAACUGUUGAAAGGAUUUGUUUGCAUUAUAAUAUAAGUUUAAAAUACAUUUAAUCUGCAUAUUAUUUGAAGUUUAAUAGGAACGGAAUAUUUAACUGGAUCAUGGACGACUAUCCACCGACGAAGAAUUUUUCAUAGAGCUGAUGGAAAAUGUGUCGGCACUCGGCUUCGUUUCAACAUGGAGGACGUCUGGCAGCAGCAAAAAGAAAUUCAACUGACGAUAAUCUACUGUCGAAAGUAUUUGUUGUGAAGAAGAAUUUGUCACAAAGCUGAUGGGAAAUGUGUCGGCACUCGGCUUCGUUUCAACCCGGAGGAAGAUUAGCAGCAUCAAUAGAAACUCAUCUUAAUGUCAACUGUUGAAAAAACAGAACAUUUAACUGGAUCAUGGACUAUCCACCGACGAAGAAUUUGUCAUUGAGCUGAAGGAAAAUGUGUCGGCACUCGGCUUCGUUUCAACCCGGAGGAAGAUUUGCAGCAUCAAAAAGAAAUUCAACUGACGAUAAUCUACUGUCGAAACUAUUUUGAAGAAGAAUUUGUCACAAAGCUGAUGGGAAAUGUGUCGGCUGUAUUUCAAUACGGAGGACGUCUGGCAGCAGCAAAUAGAAAUUCAACUGAUGAUCAACUGCCCAAAGGAUUUGUUGUGAAGAAGAAUUUGUCAUUGUGCUGAUGGAAAAUGUGUCGGCACUUCAACAAGGAGGACGUCUUGCAGCAUUAGAAUAUAAGUUUAAUUUAGUUUUCCCCUUACGCAUUAGCGCUCAUCUCUCAUCCACUCAUCCAACACAUUGACUAUCGCCGGCCGGCAACACACACAUAUUAUACACAUUACCCGUUUUAUAUUAUAUAGAAUUAUUAAUAUCUACAUAUAGUUUAAGUUAUUGUAUAUUUUUUUUUUUAUUAUUUGAAUGCAUUUAUAUGAUCAGUUGCGUAUUUAGAAAUUGUAUGAUAAGGGCAACACAUAUUUUGCUGCCUCCCUCCCAUUAAAAAAAAAAUUAAAAUGCCUCGCAUUGGUCAAACUGUUAAUACCAUAGAAUACCAUGUUAUAUACUUAUAUAAACAUUAUAGUAUUUUACACCUCUA